rnacentral:rRNA from 1 species
UCGGGAAUUUUGGGCAAUGGGGGAAACCCUGACCCAGCAACGCCGCGUGAAGGAUGAAGUAUUUCGGUAUGUAAACUUCGAAAGAAUAGGAAGAAUAAAUGACGGUACUAUUUAUAAGGUCCGGCUAACUACGUGCCAGCAGCCGCGGUAAUACGUAGGGACCAAGCGUUGUUCGGAUUUACUGGGCGUAAAGGGCGCGUAGGCGGUGUGUCAAGUCAGUUGUGAAAUCUCCGAGCUUAACUCGGAACGGUCAACUGAUACUGUCACACUAGAGUACAGAAGGGGCAAUCGGAAUUCUUGGUGUAGCGGUGAAAUGCGUAGAUAUCAAGAGGAACACCUGAGGCGAAGGCGGGUUGCUGGGCUGAUACUGACGCUGAGGCGCGAAAGCUAGGGUAGCAAACGGGAUUAGAUAUCCCCGUAGUCCCUGAGCGGGCUGGCAAGGCGCAU